CACUCUCACACACACACACACACACACACAGUCACAUACACUCUCACACACACACACACACACACACACACACACAGAGACUCUUCCUCACACACACACAGACUCUCUCUCACACACACACACACGUUCAGAGUGGACUUUUCUCUCUGGUCGGAGUUGUGGCCAUCAUGUGUCCACAUUAAAUGAGUGAUCUCAACCUUGACUCUAUUGACUUCUAAGACUUCCUCAGAGAACAUGGUCAGUCUGCCACUGGACACUGUCCACAACAACAACAACAACAACAACAACAGCAGCAGCAGCAGCAGCGACUGGGCUGAGGUCAUUUCUGAUUGGCUGUUAUUGUGAUUGAAAUGUCUCUAAUUUUGUUUAUUGCUGUAUCAGGAAGUUGUCUUGUUCUUGUGUGACCUAUCAAACUUGUACUGAAUGACAUUCCAUUCUUACUCUGUUUUAGUAAAUAUCACUGAAGAAUGUAGAGCUGUGUGUGUGCUUGUAUGUGUGUGUGUGUGUGUUGUUGUGUGCGUGUGUGGUUGUGAGUGUGUUGUUGUGUUUGUGUGUGGUUGUGAGUGUGUUGUUGUGUGCAUGUGUGUGGUUGUGAGCCCUUCAGCUUUUCUCUGAGUGAAUGUAAGUGAGUUUACACUCUGGGUUGCCGCUCCCCUCAGGAAGUUUCAGAAUAAAUGUUUAUGUUCUUAA